UCUCUGGUGGCCCAGUGGUUAGGACUCUGUGCUUCCACUGCAGAGGGCAUAGGUUUGAUCCCUGGUCAGGGAA
rnacentral:tRNA from 1 species